GACGUAGGAGGCAAGCGUUGUCCGGAUUUAUUGGGCGUAAAGCGCUCGCAGGUGGUUCGAUACGUCGUGCGUGAAAGACCCCGGCUCAACUGGGGAGGGUCGUGCGAUACGGUCGAACUGGAGGCCAGUAGGGGGAUGCGGAAUUCCGGGUGUAGUGGUGGAAUGCGUAGAGAUCCGGAGGAACACCAGCGGCGAAGGCGGCAUCCUGGACUGGUCCUGACACUCAUGAGCGAAAGCGUGGGGAGCGAUCCGG
rnacentral:rRNA from 1 species